rnacentral:rRNA from 1 species
AUUGAACGCUGGCGGCAGGCCUAACACAUGCAAGUCGAACGAGUGGCGGACGGGUGAGUAAUGUCGUGGACACUGCCCGCUGGAGGGGGAUAACCACUGGAAACGGUAGCUAUUACCACAUUGCAUCGGAUGUGCUCCGCGGGGAUUAGCUAGUAGGUGGGGUAACGGCUCACCUACGCGACGAUCCCGAGCUGGUCUGAGAGGAUGACCAGGCGAACGGGAACUGUGAGACGGUCCAGACGCCUACGGGACGAAGCAGUGGGGCAUAUGGCACAAUGGGAGCAAGCCUGAUGCAGCCAUGCCGCGUGGAGGAGUAAGGCCUUCGGGUUGUAAAGUUGUUUCAGUGAGGAGGCGUUACUCGCAGAAGAAGCGCCGGCUAACUCCGUGCCAGCAGCCGCGGUAAUUC